AUUCCUGUACUUCUGGUUACUGCGAUGGAGGGACGGAGAAGGCUAGGCCAGCUUGGCGUUGGUUGUCCAAGUUUAAGGUGGUAGGCUGAAAUCUUAGGUAAAUCCGGGGUUUCAAGGCCGAGAGCUGAUGACGAGUCGUCUUUUAGAUGACGAAGUGGUUGAUGCCAUGCUUCCAAGAAAAGCUUCUAAGCUUCAGGUAACCAGGAACCGUACCCCAAACCGACACAGGUGGUCGGGUAGAGAAUACCAAGGCGCUUGAGAGAACUCGGGUGAAGGAACUAGGCAAAAUGGCACCGUAACUUCGGGAGAAGGUGCGCCGGCUAGGGUGAAGGAUUUACUCCGUAAGCUCUGGCUGGUCGAAGAUACCAGGCCGCUGCGACUGUUUAUUAAAAACACAGCACUCUGCAAACACGAAAGUGGACGUAUAGGGUGUGACGCCUCCCCGGUGCCGGAAGGUUAAUUGAUGGGGUUAGCGCAAGCGAAGCUCUUGAUCGAAGCCCCGGUAAACGGCGGCCGUAACAAUAACGGUCCUAAGGUAGCGAAAUUCCUUGUCGGGUAAGUUCCGACCUGCACGAAUGGCGUAACGAUGGCGGCGCUGUCUCCACCCGAGACUCAGUGAAAUUGAAAUCGCUGUGAAGAUGCAGUGUAUCCGCGGCUAGACGGAAAGACCCCGUGAACCUUUACUGUAGCUUUGCACUGGACUUUGAGCCUGCUUGUGUAGGAUAGGUGGGAGGCUUUGAAGCGUGGACGCCAGUUCGCGUGGAGCCAUCCUUGAAAUACCACCCUGGCAUGCUUGAGGUUCUAACUCUGGUCCGUAAUCCGGAUCGAGGACAGUGUAUGGUGGGCGGUUUGACUGGGGCGGUCUCCUCCUAAAGAGUAACGGAGGAGUACGAAGGUGCGCUCAGACCGGUCGGAAAUCGGUCGCAGAGUAUAAAGGCAAAAGCGCGCUUGACUGCGAGACAGACACGUCGAGCAGGUACGAAAGUAGGUCUUAGUGAUCCGGUGGUUCUGUAUGGAAGGGCCAUCGCUCAACGGAUAAAAGGUACUCCGGGGAUAACAGGCUGAUACCGCCCAAGAGUUCAUAUCGACGGCGGUGUUUGGCACCUCGAUGUCGGCUCAUCACAUCCUGGGGCUGAAGCCGGUCCCAAGGGUAUGGCUGUUCGCCAUUUAAAGUGGUACGCGAGCUGGGUUUAGAACGUCGUGAGACAGUUCGGUCCCUAUCUGCCGUGGACGUUUGAGAUUUGAGAGGGGCUGCUCCUAGUACGAGAGGACCGGAGUGGACGAACCUCUGGUGUCCCGGUUGUCACGCCAGUGGCAUUGCCGGGUAGCUAUGUUCGGAAAAGAUAACCGCUGAAAGCAUCUAAGCGGGAAACUUGCCUCAAGAUGAGAUCUCACUGGGAACUUGAUUCCCCUGAAGGGCCGUCGAAGACUACGACGUUGAUAGGCUGGGUGUGUAAGCGUUGUGAGGCGUUGAGCUAACCAGUACUAAUUGCCCGUGAGGCUUGACC
rnacentral:rRNA from 1 species